AUAACCCUCGGAAACGGGGGCUAAUACCGGAUAGGACCUUCGGACGCAUGUCUGGGGGUGGAAAGUUUUUCGGCCUGGGAUGGGCUCGCGGCCUAUCAGCUUGUUGGUGGGGUGAUGGCCUACCAAGGCGACGACGGGUAGCCGGCCUGAGAGGGCGACCGGCCACACUGGGACUGAGACACGGCCCAGACUCCUACGGGAGGCAGCAGUGGGGAAUAUUGCACAAUGGGCGGAAGCCUGAUGCAGCGACGCCGCGUGAGGGAUGACGGCCUUCGGGUUGUAAACCUCUUUCAGCAGGGACGAAGCGCAAGUGACGGUACCUGCAGAAGAAGCGCCGGCCAACUACGUGCCAGCAGCCGCGGUAAGACGUAGGGCGCGAGCGUUGUCCGGAUUUAUUGGGCGUAAAGAGCUCGUAGGCGGCUUGUCGCGUCGACCGUGAAAACUUGGGGCUCAACCCCAAGCCUGCGGUCGAUACGGGCAGGCUAGAGUUCGGUAGGGGAGACUGGAAUUCCUGGUGUAGCGGUGAAAUGCGCAGAUAUCAGGAGGAACACCGGUGGCGAAGGCGGGUCUCUGGGCCGAUACUGACGCUGAGGAGCGAAAGCGUGGGGAGCGAACAGGAUUAGAUACCCUGGUAGUCCACGCUGUAAACGUUGGGCGCUAGGUGUGGGGGGCCUCUCCGGUUCCCUGUGCCGCAGCUAACGCAUUAAGCGCCCCGCCUGGGGAGUACGGCCGCAAGGCUAAAACUCAAAGG
rnacentral:rRNA from 1 species